GGGACACUGAGAGAGAGAGAGAAAGAGAGAGUUGAUACUAAGAAGAAUGUCUCACACUCUGUAAGGUGAAAUACCAAUGUUUGGGCAUCAACAUGCCUUUUUCAGGGUUGUCUGGUUGAAAUGCAUCUCUCUCCCUCUCAGUGUCCAUGCUAUCUCCACCUCUCUUUUUCUUAGAUCUCUCUCCCUCUCUUUCUCUUCUCUCUCCCACCCUCUUAUUUUUCUUUCCCCCUCUCUCUUUUUCUCCUCCCCCCUCUGUCUUGUACCUCUCUCCCCCGCGCUCUUUCUCCUAUCCUCUUGCCUUCUCUUCCUUUCUCUCUCUUUACCCUCAUCCCUCCCUCUCACUCAUCCCUGCCUCCCCCCUCCCUCGCUGUGUCUCUCACAGCCUCUGCUCUGUAGUUCUUUUGUUUGGGUCAAGAGACAUCCCUACAGUCAUCUCCAGGGCUGAGCGCCUGGGAGACGGGAGAAAGCAGCAACAGGGGUACUUCUAGAAGAACCCAUUAUAUUCUCUGAUACUCCAGGAGCCAACCAGAGAAAUGUAUAGAUCUGCCAAUAAAACCAGCUAAGGAAAGUUGGAGCGCGAUAGAUUACAUCAUGUAUUUUCUGAAUAACUUUCAAAAACUUCAGGUAAAUAUUUAUACAAUGUUUCUUGGCUGUGUCUGUCAUAUUAUUCUGCAGUAGAGGACUGCGUUGAUCUUUAAAAAGUUUGUUGGGGCUAGAUUACGUUAUGAUAAACAUGUUCGUUUUACUUCCAGAUAUCUAAUAGCUCUUAAAUGGGCUGAAUCCUCUGCAGGGUUGUCAACACAUGCCAUGGAAGGUCUAGUGCCCACUGGUUUUUGUUUUGUUUAAGACAACUGGGACAUUACUGGUGGGCCUGGUAACCCAGCCAGCCAGAGGAAUCCUUCUCAUUAAUAGCUGAUGUACAGGACAAUUAUCAAGGACCGGAGACUGAAACCGGAGAGGGGGAGCUGUUGGUUACCUGAGCCCCAGAGAGAUGACUCUCCAAAGGCCAGCUGCUCAGCUGGGGGGGGACCAGAGUUGGAGGAGAUCAGCGGACCAGUCGUACUGGGACACUCUCAUAUCGGAGGUGGAGGUGGUACCCCGACGCACGGCUGUUACAGGACGCAGCGCUCCCCGGCCACAGAGUGCCGUCGAGGGGACAGACCUGGGGCAGAGACUGGACGGUUGGCCGGAGAAGAUGCAGAGCAAGAACAACUACAGAAGAGGAAGCCAAGUUCUCAGCCCUGGCAGCAAGCCAAAUGAACAAGUGGCAAAACCGUGGCCACCACCUCCACGAGCCCGCGUCCGGCCGCAGAGCGCCACAGAGGGAAGCCGUCAGAUGAACGAGUGGUUGCACGAGUUGGAGAGGAUGCAGAAUGGGGGCUAUUUCGGGGGAAGCCCCUCCGUCAACCCGGAGGUGGAGCAUUGCCGGACUGGUCAUCCCCCGCGACCACAGAGCGCCACCGAGGGACACAGCCAGAACCUAGACCGAUGGUUGCAGGAGCUAGAGAGAAUGGAGGACGGGAGCUAUUUUGGAAACUCUAAGCGAGUACAGACAGAGUGCAGACAGGCCCCUUUCCACGACAGGACGUCCUCCAUGCCGGCCCUUCACAGAGAGCCCGUUGGCCCCAGGCUGCUCCACUGCCACCGGGGCCUCUCACCUUCCUCCUCUCUGUGCGGCUGGGACGAAGGUCUCUCUUCAGACUUCCCCAGCCUGUGUGACAGUUCCCUGGGCAGCCAGGAGUCCCUCGGAGGCGGGUUGUCCUCCGACCCGGAACACAGGGGCAGCUGGGAGAGAGCUAGCAUCAAGCAGGCUCCAGGGAGGGAGCAUGCCGAACUCAGCACCCUGACUCCGGUGAGAGUGGGCUGGCUACCCGUCCGGAAGAGGGCCCCGAUGAGGAAUGCCCUGGUCCCUCGACAAACCCAAACCGGCCUUCCAGAGAACUCUGCCAACCAGGUGAUAUUAAAGCUUCCCAUCACCCCUACCUUCGUGAAGGUUCCUGUCAAGGACAACGACCUACGAUUCUCAGAUGCAGGCGCAGAGAAAGUGGAGCGGAGUCAAAGCAGCGUUCACGUCGUGGAUCCUGGAACAAGAUGGCUUCCUGACCAGCGACCUGCCCGGGAGUCUCCCAUCACUCAACAGGCUGGACAUGUUAGAGGGCUGUCUGAUCCAAAGACAGAAGAGGUCUAGAUGCUGACCGCAUCAUAAACCUGCUAAGGUUUUAAGGAGAUGAGGAGAGAGGACAUGAGGACAAUGUAACAGAGAAACACCCAAACAGCACUCGAGACAGUAUAUGAGACAGUGGAUAUCAGAACUCUACACACUUUUAUUUUCAAAAGAUUUUGUUGAUCUAAUGUCUGAAUUUAAGAAAUAUCAGGUCAGCCCUUUACUUCCCUUUUAAUAAGAUUUUG
ensembl:lncRNA